UGGGGAAUAUUGCACAAUGGGGGAAACCCUGAUGCAGCGACGCCGCGUGAGUGAAGAAGCGCCUCGGCGCGUAAAGCUCUGUCAGCAGGGAAGAAAAUGACGGUACCUGAAGAAGAAGCCCCGGCUAACUACGUGCCAGCAGCCGCGGUAAUACGUAGGGGGCAAGCGUUAUCCGGAUUUACUGGGCGUAAAGGGAGCGCAGACGGCGGGGCAAGUCUGGAGUGAAAGCCCGGGGCCCAACCCCGGGACUGCUCUGGAAACUGUCCGGCUUGAGUGCAGGAGGGGCGGGCGGAAUUCCUAGUGUAGCGGUGAAAUGCGUAGAUAUUAGGAGGAACACCGGCGGCGAAGGCGGCCCGCUGGACUGCAACUGACGUUGAGGCUCGAAAGCGUGGGGAGCAAACAGG
rnacentral:rRNA from 1 species